GACGAACGCUGGCGGCGUGCUUAACACAUGCAAGUCGAACGGGGAUCCCGUCUUCGGGUGGGGUUCUAGUGGCGAACGGGUGAGUAACACGUGGGCAACCUGCCCUCAGCUCUGGGAUAACUCCGGGAAACCGGGGCUAAUACCGGAUAUGACCAUCUUCCGCAUGGUGGGUGGUGGAAAGUUUUUCGGCUGGGGAUGGGCCCGCGGCCUAUCAGCUUGUUGGUGGGGUGAUGGCCUACCAAGGCGGCGACGGGUAGCCGGCCUGAGAGGGUGACCGGCCACACUGGGACUGGGACACGGCCCAGACUCCUACGGGAGGCAGCAGUGGGGAAUAUUGCGCAAUGGGCGGAAGCCUGACGCAGCGACGCCGCGUGAGGGACGAAGGCCUUCGGGUUGUAAACCUCUUUCAGCAGGGACGAAGCCGUGAGGUGACGGUACCUGCAGAAGAAGCACCGGCCAACUACGUGCCAGCAGCCGCAGUAAUAC
rnacentral:rRNA from 1 species